rnacentral:pre_miRNA from 1 species
AACCUUCGGUAUCCGUACUGAGAUUUCGUCACACAUCAGACCACGAAGGCUGAUCGGACUCCCAAGAUAAGUGAAGCU